rnacentral:rRNA from 1 species
CGGCGGACGGGUGAGUAACACGUGGAUAACCUACCUAUAAGACUGGGAUAACUUCGGGAAACCGGAGCUAAUACCGGAUAAUAUAUUGAACCGCAUGGUUCAAUAGUGAAAGACGGUUUUGCUGUCACUUAUAGAUGGAUCCGCGCCGCAUUAGCUAGUUGGUAAGGUAACGGCUUACCAAGGCAACGAUGCGUAGCCGACCUGAGAGGGUGAUCGGUCACACUGGAACUGAGACACGGUCCAG